rnacentral:rRNA from 1 species
UACGUAGGCAGCAAGCGUUGUUCGGAAUUACUGGGCGUAAAGAGUGCGUAGGCGGUUUUCUAAGUUUGGUGUGAAAUCUCCCGGCUUAACUGGGAGGGUGCGCCGAAAACUGGAAGGCUUGAGUAUGGGAGAGGUAAGCGGAAGUUCCUGGUGUAGCGGUGAAAUGCGCAGAUAUCAGGAAGAACACCCGUGGCUAAGGCGGCUCUCUAGUACGGUACUGACGCUGAGACGCGAAAGCGUGGGGAGCGAACAGG